rnacentral:tRNA from 1 species
GUCUCCUUAGCUCAGUCGGUAGAGCAACUGACUCUUAAUCAGUGGGUCAUGGGUUCGAAUCCCCUAGGGGACACCA